rnacentral:lncRNA from 1 species
AUUCAAAAAUUACGGCUGGAAUAGUGAAAUAACGGUCAAAAAAUCAAUUUUUUUUGGAUAAAAAAUCACUCCCAAACGGGACCAUAAUUUCUCCCAUACAAGCACUAGUUAAGUUGAUAAACAAGUUUGAAGGUUAUAUUUAAGAUGGAUGGAGAUCCAGUGUUUAUAGUAGAGUAUGUAUUUAGCUUAUGAUUGAUGCUGAUAAGUUGUUCAUUCCCCUUCAUGUUUUUGUGAAAGCAACCAGAUGAAGUUAUUAUGUUAUCAGUUGAUUAUCUUCACUCCGGCAAAGAAUUAAAUAGGUGAUGUGGGCCACAAAAAAUUUCAGUGAACGUUAUUUAAUGUAAUCAUAACAAUAAACUGAAGAUGCUGAGAGAAGAAAGGAUAUUAUUUAUCUCCCAAUUCUCAUGGUCAUUAACUGACAGUCGGUUGUGUUCAGUUUGUAUCAUUUUUUUGUGUUGAGCUUAACUGGUUUGAAAAAGUAGUAAUUUAUUUGCAAUUGAAAUCAAGGGGUGGUACACCUCUCCCAUUCCCCAUGAUUUUUCUUGGAAAUUUUGAGGUUUAAAAUAUUAUAAUUAAAAUUGUUUGUUAUUCAAGUUUUUAUCCUCCUGAGAAUUCGAAUUCGUCUGUUUUGGGCAACCGUGUGGGUUUACAUAUGCUUUUGACAUGCUUCAUUGUAGCAUGCAAUAUGGGCUACGGUUUACUCUUUGCCCACCCCCACCACUACGGUUCCCCAUAUUUUAUCGAUGCUUUUGACUUCCUUUAUAAUGUGGAAUUAUCAUCUGUGAAAGUGCCCUGUAAUAUAAAAUUUUUCCAUUUUCGAUAUUUAUUUUUUAUUUGGAUAUACUUACCACUCUCUCAUCUAA